UGAGUAGAGUAAAUGGUCGCGGCUGGCUGUCCGAAAGGUGCCAGACGAGGAAAGUCCGGGCUUCGCAGGGCAGGAUGCCGGAUAACGUCCGGCGGAGGCGACUCCAGGGAAAGUGCAACAGAAAUAUACCGCCGCAGUUUCACUGCGGUAAGGGUGGAAAGGCAGUGUAAGAGACUACCGCCUGUCCGGUAACGGACGGGGCACAUGUAAACCCCAUUCGAAGCAAGACCGAAUAAAAGCAUAUGGCGGCCCGUCAGCUUUAGGUAGGUCGCUGGAACCCGGCGGCAACGCCGGGUCUGGAUAGAUGACCAUUCACGACAUAACCCGGCUUAUCGCUCUGCUCAUAAA
rnacentral:RNase_P_RNA from 1 species